rnacentral:lncRNA from 1 species
UUCGUGCAUGUGGAAUGUUGUGUUUGGUUGUUCGCAGCAGUUGUUAAGUGAUUACGUGUGGAUCUGGGCAAUAAGGAGCUAUUUAGGCACAUACAAUGGGCAGCAGCCGGUCUUGGAAUUCUCAUUGUGUGGCAUAAGCACAUUCCAGUGUCAAUAUGGACAUUGAUGAAGUCUUCUCCCAUAUUGGGGAGUUUGGACCAGCUCAAAAGAAGUAUGUGCUGGUGAUAUCCUUAGCCCAGGUAUACAUAGCAUCAAUUAAUUUAAAUAUGGAAUUUACAGCCUUUGCUCCUGAGUUUGAGUGCUACCC